rnacentral:misc_RNA from 1 species
GACAGAGGGUGCAAACGUUGUUCGGAAUUACUGGGCGUAAAGCGCGUGUAGGCGGUGCGGUAAGUCGGAUGUGAAAGCCCUGGGCUCAACCUAGGAAGUGCAUUCGAAACUGCCGGACUUGAGUUCUGGAGAGGAAGGCGGAAUUCUCGGUGUAGAGGUGAAAUUCGUAGAUAUCGGGAAGAACAUCGGUGGCGAAGGCGGCCUUCUGGACAGAUACUGACGCUGAGACGCGAAAGCGUGGGGAGCAAACAGG